rnacentral:rRNA from 1 species
UGGGGGAUAUUGCACAAUGGGCGAAAGCCUGAUGCAGCGACGCCGCGUGGGGGAUGAAGGCUUUCGGGUUGUAAACCUCUUUCGCUAUCGAACAAGGCCCGCUUAGGGUGGGUUGAGGGUAGGUGGAGAAGAAGCGCCGGCUAACUACGUGCCAGCAGCCGCGGUAAUACGUAGGGCGCGAGCGUUGUCCGGAAUUAUUGGGCGUAAAGGGCUUGUAGGCGGCUUGUUGCGCCUGCUGUGAAAACGCGGGGCUUAACUUCGCGCGUGCAGUGGGUACGGGCAGGCUUGAGAGUGGUAGGGGUGACUGGAAUUCCAGGUGUAGCGGUGGAAUGCGCAGAUAUCUGGAGGAACACCGAUGGCGAAGGCAGGUCACUGGGCCAUUACUGACGCUGAGGAGCGAAAGCAUGGGUAGCGAACAGG